UACAGAGGGGGCGAGCGUUGUUCGGAAUUACUGGGCGUAAAGGGCGCGUAGGCGGCCAACUAAGUCAGACGUGAAAUCCCUCGGCUCAACCGGGGGAACUGCGUCUGAUACUGGAUGGCUUGAAUUCGGGAGAGGGAUGCGGAAUUCCAGGUGUAGCGGUGAAAUGCGUAGAUAUCUGGAGGAACACCGGUGGCGAAGGCGGCAUCCUGGACCGAGAUUGACGCUGAUGCGCGAAGCGUGGGGAUCAAACAGGG
rnacentral:rRNA from 1 species